GACGAACGCUGGCGGCGGGCUUAACACAUGCAAGUCGAACGGAGUGGCGAACGGGUGCGUAACACGUGGGUGAUCUGCCGUGCACUGCGGGAUAAGCAUGGGAAACGUGGUCUAUAACGGGAUAGGGCAGGAUGCGCUCGCGGCCUAUCAGCUUGUUGGUGGGGUAAUGGCCUACCAAGGCGUCGACGGGUAGCCGGCCUGAGAGUGUGCCCGGCCACAUUGGGCCUGCGAGACGGCCCAGACACCUACGGGAGGCAGCAGUGGGGAAUCUUGUGCAAGGGGCGGAAGCCUGAUGCAGCGACGCCGCGUGGGGGAGGAAGGCUUUCGGGUUGGAAACUCCUUUCGACAGGGACGCGGUACCUGUAUAAGAAGCACCGGCUAACUACGUGCCAGCCGCCGCGGUAAUUC
rnacentral:rRNA from 1 species